GUGCUUGCUUCAGUAGCACAUAUACUAAUAUUGGAAUGAUACAGAGAUUAGCAUAGCCCCUGUACAAGAUGAUUUAGGAGACAUUCCAUAAUUUU
rnacentral:snRNA from 1 species